GACCAAAUGAGUAACUGAACAAAGGUCAGACUUACCCCAUUAUUUAUGUCACACACCAGCCCUCGCAUCAUCCCCUGCCUCAAUGCCCAUUAUGACAUAUGUGUGCCCCUCCCUUUGGGCCCCUCAGCAGGCUCACCAGCCAGGGACAUGGCCCCGGGUGGGAGGUUGGAGAGUGAUCCCAGGAAAUAGCAGACAGAAGAAAUGCCAUAGGAGUCCCUAGGCCUUGGGAGAACAUGUAGUUUUGCCCCUCACUUGGCAAAGAUUGAUCAAAGGGCUGUGCUGCACUCAGGGGCUGGGCACCGAGAGGAUGCAUGGGAAGCAGCUUCUCUAGGAUGGACGUGUCAGAGCGCUUCCUGUUGCUUCUCCGUGUAACCACGUCCACAACAUCCAUUCUUCCAUCCGACCAACGUGUGCUGAGCCCCUGGGGGGUGCUGGCCCAGGCCCCGCGGACUUUGAACCCAGGUCGCCCUCCCUCCCCGGCGGCUUCCUUCUGAUGCCCACGAUCUCCUCUCUGGGUCAGCCCGGAACGUGAUGACCGCAGGCUGAACCAUGUCAGGGUGCACAGCGAUAUCGCGCUCCAUGAUGCUCAACUGUGGAGCUUGGGAGAAGAUGAUCGCCACACGGAGUGUUCAGCGCCCACCUCAGCCUCGUUCCUGAAACCCAGCCUGUGUACUGCUUGGAUAAAUAAAGAUGACUUUCAAGCGUCA